CAGAGUUGCAAAACUCCCAACCAUUGUGAACCUACCUCACCGUUGCUUCGGGGGCCGGGCACCAGGGGGCCCCUCGGGGGGCAAGCCUGUCCGAUUGGAACCGAAUAACUCUUUUGCAUCUACUGGCCUUCUCUGAGUAACUAUACAAUCAGUUAC
rnacentral:misc_RNA from 1 species